UCAGUCGGCCGGGCGGCCGCUCCGCCUUCGGGUGGGGAGGAAAGUCCGGGCUCCAUGGAGAGACGGUGCCGGAUAACGUCCGGCGGGGGCGACCCCAGGGACAGUGCCACAGAGAGCAGACCGCCCCGCUUGCGGGGUAAGGGUGAAAGGGUGCGGUAAGAGCGCACCGCGGACGCGGCAACGCGGACGGCAUGGCAAACCCCACCGGGUGCAAGACCGAAUAGGGGUGACACGCACUCCCCGAGAGGGGAGGGCAGGCCGGCUCUCCAGGCCCGUCGCCCGGGUUGGUUGCUCGAGGCGGUCGGUGACGAUCGUCCCAGAGGAAUGGCCGCCACGUCCGGGUGUCGCAAGGCGCCCGGGCCCUACAGAACCCGGCUUAAAGGCCGGCUGAUCUC
rnacentral:RNase_P_RNA from 1 species